AUGUCCACUCUGAACCGUCCCAUCUCUGUUAGAGCCAAGAUUGGCUGCAGGUUCGUGGAUCAACUUCCUUCCACGGCUGAGGGUAUGCUGGGGGGUCGUUUCUAUAAGUUUACUUAUGAAGUGGAAGAGGUGUUGGUUAGGAACCCUGUGGAAGAAGGCAAAGGGGAUACUGUGCAUAAUGACAAUGUGAACAAAUCUGAUCAGACACCCAAACGGAAAAGGGCUGAUCACGAG
rnacentral:rRNA from 1 species